UGUAAACAGGAGGACUUUGAAUUUGAGACGGAACUGAACCGGGAGCCGGUGGAGCUGCUGGAGGACAGGGGUGGUGUGGUGGGUGGAUGGGGCUCCAGUUAUAAUGUGAGCAGCUGAACUCUGGACCAGUUGGAGCUUAUGGAGGGGUUUGUUAGGGAGGCCGAGGAGGAGAGAGUUGCAAUAAUCUACACGGGAGGUGACGAGGCUGUGGACAAGGAUGGUGGCAGAGUGGGGGUCAGGGAAGGGCGGAGACGAUUGACGUUUCGUAGGUGGAAGUCGGCAGACCGGGGGAUGUUAUUGAUGUGGGAUUGAAAGGAUAGCGUACGAUCCAGGAUGACACCCAGACUCUUAAUCUAACAGGAGGGUGCAACAGUGGAAUUAUCUAUGGUGAUUGAAAAGCUGUUAGGGUCGAUUUUGUGCCAAUGAGUAGAACCUCGGUUUUACUGCCAUUUAAUUUGAGGAAGUUGAGAGUGAACCAGUUUUUUAUUUCCCCACUCUCUCUUUCUGAGGGAGUGGGGAGCUGGAAGGAGGAGAGAGAGAGUGACGAUGGGUGAAAGUCUGUCGAGAUGCUGAGGUGAGGAAUUAAUCCAAGGUGCUGGUGGAUAUUCUGGAUUUUAGAAGUGAUAAAAGGACAUAAUGGAGUUGCAGAAGGAGGUUGUGUACAGGUGAGGGGUGGAGGGAGUCUUGGGGUUUAGUGGUAUUGUUGAGUAGGGAGAACAGUGACUUGGAGUUGUCUUUAUUGGCAGUGAUUCUACCGGAGCAGUAGUGGGUUUUAGUGCUGGCAAUGGAGUCCUUGUAGUCUAAAAUGUGAUUAUUGUACAUUUCUUUGUGAAUGGUGAGGCCGGUUUUUUAUGGAGCCGUUCAAGUUGCCGACCUUUGGCUUUCAUCAGACGAAGGUAGGGGUUGAACCAAGGGGCGGAGACAGAGAAAGAAACAGAUCUGUUUUUUAACGGAGCAAGAGAAUUGAGAAUAUUGACCUCUGGCUUCCCGCCAGAGGUCAGGAGCACCACAACACCAACUGUACAAACUGCCACAACACCGGCCUCCAUCUUGUCUCCUUUCGUCAAAAAAAACGCCGAAUGGUAGCUGUGGUCACUGCACACGGUGUCUGAUUUAUCGACAAUAAAAAACAUGUCGUAAUUUAUCAAGAUUAUUUUACAAUGUUGUGUUGCGUUGUAAUGAACUGUAUUGUAAAUAUUAACAAAUAACCUUUGACCUUGGCUCUUACUUUCAAUUUGGUUUGUCAUUAAAGUCAGAUCGUAUUUUAUUAUGUACUAAAGUGAGAUCAUCAUUGUGUUGUGUUCACUAGGUGGAGCAGGGUGAAGAGACAAUACCGUCACCAGCAGUGAUGCCAGUAACGCGUUACUUAUGUUACAUAUUUUAAGCACAUAAACUGCGCCAACAUAGCCAAUAUGAAGCAGGAUCGAACACACAAGCUGCAUUGCCCUCACGUAGCCACUAGGUUGCAGGAUCGAACACAUAAGCUGCAAUAACUACUCCAGCCACAGAUGGCAGCACCUUUAGACAGGUGAGGAUGGCGGAGCCAUUACGUCACACCAGUCACGCCCACUCCAUAUAGGCCACGCCCACUUGACGAUCAACAGCGCGGGAUUCAACUUGAGAGGCCACAAUCAAUAGGAGCCCGGCCGAGAGUCCUGCGCCUUCUCCCGGGACUCGAAGGAGUGCCCGAUAUUAUUCCAAUACGCGUUAGAUACAAUUCCCUCCCUUAUGCUUCAUAGUUACCAUACCGAAAUAUGCCUACUUUAACAAAUAAAGUGAAUUGAAAGCCACCAAGGAUUGGACUACU